UGUAAAUAUGGAACAUAAAAACAACUACAUUGUCCCUAUGCCAUAUAUUAAACACCACAUUGUCCCAAUGCAAUAAUAUUUUGUGUUUAUCCAAUUAAACCCCCAAUAUAAUUCCAACGCAAUAUUUUAUAUUUGUUUUCUUUAAAUAAAAAAUUAAUUUUCGAUAAAAAAAAUUUAAUUAAGAAAUAAAACAAAACACACAUCCCCUGACACCAUUUUAUCCCCAAAUUGAACACAUGAACCCUAAUCAAAACUCUCUCCUUUGUUACGUGUAGAGAGAAAAUCGGAGAGACUUGAACACUCGACGACGCUGCUUCACUUCGCCGGCUCCAGUGUCCCUUAUUCGCCGGCUCCGAUAUUCCUUUUCCCCUCUUUGGCUCCGCCGGUGUUUCUUCUUAAACAAAGGCGCCUACUCCUCCUCCUGGUCGUCGGUGUUCAUCUUCCUUCUCCUUACAAGAGAAUCUGGGAGUUUCGAUUUAAUCUCUCUCUUCUCCCGACAGAAACAAAGUGAAUCACUUUACCGGAAUCUCGAACCCGCGCCUUACCGUCUCAAACAGAGAUACACUUCAUCUUUAUUCCUUGACCUAAUCGAUUUUAAGGAGCUGCAAGGGAGAAGAUCCCUGAUUUCAUUACAGAGUGUGGAGCUUCACAUUUGGUUACUGACUUCUCUCCUUUACGGGAAAUUAGAAGCUGUAGAGGCGAGGUUGUGAAGAGAAUGAGUGAUUCAUUAGCAAUACAUGAAAUUUUAAUAUUUAUUUAGCUAAUAUAGAAUGAAGAACUACAAAUAGACGACGAUGGCUGAUUGAAUAACCCAUUUUGUGUUUUUCUUUUCAUGGGAUAUACAGAAAAGGUUGUAAAAAUGGUUCUGUUUCUUUUCAAGUUCCACCUCCGGGUAAAUGUUCCUUAUGUAAUAGACUGUUCCUAACAGGAACUGAAGCUCUUCUUGGUCUUGCGCCUGCACCAGAAUACACUUUCCUAGCUUAUCUAUGUUUCUCGUGUCGGAAACUACUUCAAGGUUGUUCAAGCUCGAAUAGUGGAUACUUAGUGAGAGUUGUUAUGACUUUGGAUUUAGUUACUGUUAAUCGUUAUAUAUGUGUUACGUGUUGUACUCGGAUUCUCAUAAACAAUAGUAAAUGUGUUUUAGUUGUGAGGUUUCACUCUA